CUAGUAAAUUUUGGCGGAAGAAGAAGUGUCCGCCUUCUCAGCUCCAUCUCAUAUUCCGAAUCAGAAGAGUCUUCUUCUUCAGAACUAGAUGCUGCAGAGUUAGAUCCCCCUUCUGCCGAUGAUGCGUCAGUCUCAUAUUCUGAAGCAGAGUUAUCAAUUGUUUGGACUGGGUUAAUGUUUUGGAAAUUAGAAGACGUUUUGGUUUCAGAUAUUCCUUCUUUCUCGAAUACUGGAGUAAUAACAUGUCUUGAUGAAGAAAUCGAGUUUUCUUGAUCAUGUGAAUCGGAAACUUCUUCAUAAUCACUUUCAGAAGAAGACUCACUUUCCAGCCCUUCCAAUCUACCAGAGCGAUAUCUUGAAAUAGGUUUAUGGGGUAUCAACGGUGUAUCUAUUGGCAUCUUGACAAACGCUUUUUAUUAAAUUGGUUGGCAAAUUUCAAUCAACCGGUAAAACAAUAUAAAUAUGAAUUGGAAAUUAUAUAUCUAUUAUCUACCACCCAAGAUAAAACUGUAUAUCUGAUAUAAUAGAUUGUAUGUAUGCAAUUUGUGGUACGGUGCCACUUACAAAGAGGUUUCGGGGCACUUACCAAUGCGAGAACAAAUAUCACAAGCACACAUUCUAGUCAAAUGAACGAGAAUCCUGGCAUAAUUUAUAUUUAGCUGAAAGUUUGUAAAAUUGAAUUGCCUUUUGUAAAAUACAUCGUUUCAGUUUAUGGUCAAUGUAAUGUAUUUCCAAAAACAACCGUUGUCAACCCUUUGAGACCUUCAUAAAAAUUAUUUAGAUGCUACAUACAAUAUAUCCUUUGAAAAUACCCUCCUAUAAUUAGUAAAAAUGAUGUACUUUUCAAGAUCCUAAAAUUCGUUGAAGUGGUUUUAAAAAAUAUAGAGUUCUUGACUUGAAAUCUGUCAGCAUCUCACUUUUUCAUACCAAAAUAACUUUGAAGAAAUAAA